UUGCUUUGGCAGCACAUAUACUAAAAUUGUAACAAAACAUGGUCCCUGUGCAAGGAGGACAUGCAAAUUAAUGAAGCGUUCCGUAGGGGGAAAGUUUUU
rnacentral:snRNA from 1 species